rnacentral:rRNA from 1 species
AACAAACGCUGGCGGCGUGCCUAAUACAUGCAAGUCGAACGGGGAAAGCUUUCGGGUGAGUACUAGUGGCGCACGGGUGAGUGACGCGUGGAUAAUCUGCCCUCGAAUGGGGAAUAACUAGUCGAAAGAUUGGCUAAUACCGCAUAAGACCACGACUACUGAGGUAGUUGGGGUCAAAGGAGCAAUUCGUUUGAGGAUGAGUCCGCGUAAGAUUAGCUAGUUGGUGAGGUAGUGGCUCACCAAGGCGAUGAUCUUUAACUGGUCUGAGAGGAUGAUCAGUCACACUGGAACUGAGACACGGUCCAGACUCCUACGGGAGGCAGCAGUAGGGAAUAUUGGACAAUGGGGGCAACCCUGAUCCAGCGACGCCGCGUGAGCGAUGAAGGCCUUCGGGUCGUAAAGCUCUGUUGUAAGGGAAAAAGUUCUGAUUGUACCUUACGAGAAAGGAUCGGCUAACUUCGUGCCAGCCGCCGCAGUAA